UCACCACACCUCCUUAACAUCUACAUAUUUUCUUGUUUAUUGAAUGCCAUUUUAAUAUUUAUUUAUUAUUUAUAAUUUAUGAAUGAACCGACACUGCAGUAUUUGAAUUAUCACAUUUUUAAUAUUUGGGAUGUGAUCCAGACGGCGGUGCUGCUCGGUGAAAAAGCUAAGGGGAUAAUCUUUUGACAGUAAUAAUUGGAGAUAGCUAGCAGUCCACAUUUUCAGUUUCUGCAAUAACUCUUCAACAACUGCUAUAUUUAAUUCCCAGCAUGUUCACUCUAUGCCCAAGUGUCUCCCACUUGACAGUUUUGGGCAUUCUUGUGUUCAACACCUAUUGGUGUUUUUGCCGCCCCUCUUGUUUUCCUGUUGGCCUGACGAUGGGCUACAUAGGUUCCAUCAAAUGAGUUGUUCUACAAGAAGGCAGGACACAGUUGGGCUACAUAGGUUCCAUCAAGGCACAUUCUAAAGGUGAUAUUGUGAAGAUUGUGGUUGGAGCAUCCCGGGAUGGUAAGGGGUUCUGCAGAUUUCCAAUGCCUUGGGGGGAUUUACACUUUGAAAUCACCCUCAAUGUGAUUGAUCCCUGCAGUAAAAUUGAAGGAAUUGAUUUGAGUGUGAGAAGCAAAAGCAGUGGCGCUUCGAUUCUUCGAAUGGAAUCCCCCAGAAUCUUUUAUAAUCCUGCGUAUUUUGAGGUUCCAACAAUGAUGGGAGAAGUAUUAGAGGUGUACGCAGAAUUGUAUCCUUGGAAGAUGAUAUUUUUUGCAUUUGAAAUACAUAGAAACAGAGAAGGGGAAGUGCGUUUCUUUCCAUCCACAAAGGGAUGGAUUCCUUCCUAUAAUACGGAAGAUGGAGAGAGGAAGAGGAAAAGGAAGAUGCAGAUAGGUAGAGGCAGGCAAAGGCGUUUUCUUCCAAUCACAAGGGGAUUCAUUCCUUCUGUUAUGAGCCUGGGAGAUGCUAAUGGACAAAGGAAGAGGAAGAAAAGGAAGCUGCAGAUCCAUAGGUAGAGGCGGUACGGUUAUAAUCUUCAGCUUUUAAUUCACUGCAAAAAGGAAGGGGAAGUGCGUUUCAGGCAUGUUCUGAAGGUGACAGUGUUAAGAUUUCGCUUGAAGUGAUACAUUUGUCAGUUGCAUUGUGCCAACGUAACGUUUUUGAGGCAUGCAAUGGAGUUGGUAUCGCUAUCAGAAGCAAAACCAGUGGUGCCUCAGCUUGGGUUGGAGAUGAUGAAUGCAAUGUGGAGAAGAAGAAUGGAAGAUCCUAUCAGAGUUGAUUUUGAGGUGGGAGUGUGGGACUUAAGUGUUGGAGGUGUAUGCACAAUUCCAUCCUUUGCAUACACUUUCUGUAUUUGAAAUGCACAAGAACAGAGAUGGACAACUGCGCUUCUUUCCAUCCGCAAGAAGGCCUUCCCUGCAAUUUCAUCAACCUCAACUACAACUGGUAGAGUAGCAUCAUAUUUGGGCUUAGCAACAACCAUCAACUCUGGGUGACCCGGAAAACUUGCAGAUUCUAUCUGAUGGUGUGUUAAAUUCUGUACCACGAAUUCAGAAGGAUGUUUAAUUUGCAAUAAUCAAACUUAUGAUUUUCUUUUACAAGAAUCAUGCUGCUUCAUCCCAUUCAACUAUAUAUUUUUGGGACUUUUCUUUUUCUUUUUAAUGAGUUAUUUCCACUUUUGGUCCA